GCCGAACUGUAACCGGGUCGUCAGAAAGAAAUAAUCCAAGACUUGUUUAAUAUCAUCCAUAGGACUUUGGGGAAGCAGCUGACACUACUCUGAUUUGUGAACGAUCUAAGAGGAGGAAACGAAUACCAGCUGGUGAUGAAAUCAGCAACAGUGAGUGGACAGAUGAUUGGAGCAGAUGAAGACUGACAAGAAGCAUCAUAAACAUCCACCCACUGGUGGUGAAGCUGCAGGAGGAAAACCACCAGCUCCUCUUUGCCAACCCUUAAUGAACCGCUGAGGUCCAGCACAAGUCAUUCCUGAACAGGAACUCCACGCAGAUGCUGAAAGACUCAAACUAGAGGUGGUAAAUGAGCAUCAAUGCUGAAGAUUUUCACAAUAAAAGAGCCAGACUCAAAUGGUAUAUUAAAGGGAUGGACAACCCUGGUCCUCCAGUGCCACAUUCCUGCAUGUUUUCCAACAUAACGUGCUCUGGCAUGUGUCUUAGUUCUUUCAGUCAUCAGAGUGAAUAUACUGUAUAAAUAAAAAUGUCUUUAUACUACA